UACGUAGGGGGCAAGCGUUGUCCGGAAUUAUUGGGCGUAAAGCGCGUGUAGGCGGCCAGAUAAGUCCGCUGUGAAAUCUCGAGGCUCAACUUCGAGCUGUCGGUGGAAACUGUCUGGCUAGAGUCCGGAAGAGGAGAAUGGAAUUCCUGGUGUAGCGGUGAAAUGCGCAGAUAUCAGGAAGAACACCCGUGGCUAAGGCGGUUCUCUAGUACGGUACUGACGCUGAGACGCGAAAGCGUGGGGAGCGAACAGG
rnacentral:rRNA from 1 species